GACGAACGCUGGCGGCGUGCUUAACACAUGCAAGUCGAACGGUGAAAGGGAGCUUGCUCCCUGGAUCAGUGGCGAACGGGUGAGUAACACGUGGGCAACCUGCCCCAGACUUCGGGAUAACGCUUCGAAAGAGGUGCUAAUACCGGAUACGAACUCCUUGGGCAUCCUUGGAGUUGGAAAGUUUUUCGGUCUGGGAUGGGCCCGCGGCCUAUCAGCUUGUUGGUGAGGGAACGGCUCACCAAGGCGACGACGGGUAGCCGGCCUGAGAGGGCGACCGGCCACACUGGGACUGAGACACGGCCCAGACUCCUACGGGAGGCAGCAGUGGGGAAUAUUGCGCAAUGGGCGAAAGCCUGACGCAGCAACGCCGCGUGAGGGAUGGCGGCCUUCGGGUUGUAAACCUCUUUCAGCAGGGAAGAAGCGAAAGUGACGGUACCUGCAGAAGAAGCACCGGCUAACUACGUGCCAGCAGCCGCAGUAA
rnacentral:rRNA from 1 species